CGAACAGAAGGCCGGUUUGAAUGGCUGCCACGUUAACGGAACAUAUUGAACAACAUAGCUCACACGUGCAAUUUAUUUAAUUAGUUCUUACGGUAAACGAUUGUCAACUCACCGAGCUACAAUUAAGAAAAACAAAAAUCCAACUAUAAAUCCACACAGCGUGUAGUAUCACAGAGGGUAAAACGUAGCCCGUGAAUAGCAAUUUUCGAGGAUUGUGAAGGGUAACAGUUUGUACGAGUUCGUCUACCCGCGACGAAGCAGUAGUCGCCAUGGCUAUGAUUACGCUAUGCCGUAACAGGAGCGUAUGGUCUUUAGCAUCGAGAGGUUCGGGUUCCUUUCACAUCAAAUUCAACGGCACAAACAGAACAGACUCGCGCAGUAAAAUGUAUACAUAACAACUGAACCAUACGAAAAGUA